rnacentral:misc_RNA from 1 species
GUUCUAUGGCUUCUUCAAUUUGCAUAAACGAGAUGCUGACAGAUGACGAGCUGCGGUCGAUUCUGUCCAAGCUGGAGUGCGACAAGGAUAAGGAGAUAUUUGGGUUGGUAUGCAAGAGAUGGCUCCGCUUGCAGAGUACGGAAAGGAAGAAACUUGCUGCUCGUGCUGGUCCCCAAAUGCUUCAGAAGAUGGCUGCCAGGUUCUCUUGUUUGAUUGAAUUGGACCUUUCUCAGUCAAUUUCCAGGUCCUUUUAUCCUGGGUUUACCGACUCUGAUCUUGCCGUCAUUGCUAAUGGCUUUAAAUGCUUGAGGGUCCUUAAUUUGCAGAAUUGUAAAGGUAAAGUGAUGUUCUUUCUGAAAAAGAAACAAAAAUUAUCCCUUUUUUCUUUUUUUUUUGGAAUUAUCGAGUGUUCAUUUUGUUGAUAAUAAUAUCUCAUUUGGUGGAAAAUGUUUUACUGAUGAAAAAUAUUAAGUUUGUUCUUCUAGCUUUGUCUCUAAACAUGGUGAGUUAUUGAAGAAAAUUUCUGAACUUGCUUAAUAUGCGUAGUUGCGUUGAUGGUUGAGGUUGAGAUAAGGCCAAACAUUAACAAAUUGGGAAAGUAACUUAAACUUCGUAAAGUUAGCUUUGCAUUAUUCUGCUUCUCAUGUCAUUGUAACUUUAUUUAGCAAUUGGAGGAGACUGAAUUUGAAGAACUGGCGAGCUGGAUUAGGUGUGGUUUAUGUUUACCUUUUAGUCUCUUGUUUAUCCUCAGUCUCUGUGGUUGAACAUCUUCUUGGAUCAAAGUCUUUGAUUUUUAAUCUAUCAAUGUAGGGAAAAUUUUUGCUGAAGGUUAGGUUCUUGCCUUAUUUCUUGUACAAUUUUCUGUUGACUUACCAAUUAUGCAUAUUUCCUUAUUUGUUGUAUUAUUGUUGUGUCACAGGUAUUUCAGAUAGUGGAAUGCAGUCAAUUGGUUGUGGUCUCUCUUCUCUACGGUCAUUGGAUGUAUCCUAUUGCAGAAAGCUAACAGACAAGGGAUUCUCAUCUGUUGCUGAGGGUUGUAGAGAUCUAGAGAGCCUACAUCUUGCUGGAUGCAGAUUUGUUACUGAUGGUGUGUUAAAGUCUCUUUCUAAGAACUGUCCUAAUCUCCAGGAAUUGGGCCUGCAAGGAUGCACCAACAUAACUGACCACGGGCUCACAGAUCUUGUUAGUGGUUGCCAGCGGAUCCAGUACUUAGAAAUCAAUAAAUGCAGCAAUAUUGGGGACAUUGGAAUUUCCACUCUUUCAAAGGCAUGUUCAUCUUGUCUCAAGACACUGAAGUUGUUGGAUUGCUCCAAAGUUGGGGAUGAAUCUAUAUCUUCCUUAGCCAAAUUUUGCAAUAAUCUUGAAACCCUUAUCAUUGGUGGCUGCCGAGACAUCUCUGAUAAGUCUAUAAAAUCAUUGGCCUUGGCCUGUAAAAAUAGUUUAAAGAAUUUGCGUAUGGACUGGUGUUUAAAUAUCUCCGACUCUUCAUUAAGCUGUAUCCUCACUGAGUGCAGAAAUCUAGAGGCUCUUGACAUUGGAUGCUGUGAGGAGGUUACAGAUGCUGUUUUUCAAGGUUUAGGAACUGUAGAAACUGAAUUGAGGCUGAAGGUUUUUAAAGUUAGCAACUGUCCAAAGAUAACAGUGACUGGUAUAGGCUUGCUUUUGGAGAAGUGCAACACUUUAGAAUACCUUGAUGUGAGAUCCUGCCCACAUGUUACAAAGUCAGGUUGUGAUGAGGCUGGCUUGCAGUUUCCUGAACGGUGUAAAGUAAAUUACACAGGAAGCUUGAAUGAGCCAGAGGUUCUAGUUUGAGACCCCAGAUUUUAACAGAUUGGAAUUCUGGAGAAGUUCUAUCAUUGGAAAUUCCUAUGCAAUCCCUUCCUGAAAAGUCAAUUGAGUAUCAUAAUGAACAAAGGCUUUUGCCAGCGAAUCUUCUCCUGUUCUUGUACAAACUAUGCGUUUGACUUGGAUUAAUUAAUGUUUGGCAUCUAUUAUCUAUUUUUCACCUUGGUUUUUAUGUAUAUUUUGCAUGUACAUUGUUUCUUCUGUUGUUUUGCGUGUCUAUUUAUCUUUGUUUUUUAUUUUCUCUUAGUCCUUCCAGCGGUGGAAUGUUGUUGUAAGAUGUUCAUUUUCUUGGUAUAAUAAUAAUAAUAAGAUCCUGUUUAUGAUCCCUCUGCCUCUUUUUUCCUCAUUCUUCAUAUAAAUGAUUUGUAUGCUUUCUAUGGAUGCAAUUAAGCAGUUGGGUCCUUCUGGUUUAUUUAUUUAGUUUUUCCAAUAAACUGAAAGAAGCCAGCUUAAGAAUUCUUUGACGACUAAUUAGAUGAUAUUUUAAACGAUUCCAGGUGGUGAGAGAAUCUGGUGAUGUCAGCCCAACCAAACAAUAUUUGAGCAAAUGAAAAUGAGAAAUGCAUUCAGGUGUGACCACUUCAGGAAGGUUCCAUCUGGUUUAUUUCCCUGAUCUAUGUAUUUGCUUCCAUCUUUGGAUCUUACAUUAGUUACUUUGGGAGUUAGGGAUUUUAUAAUUUGAAUACCUAAUGGAAUGUGGGGGUCCUGAUGUUGGAGUUUGUUUAGAUAUGCAAUGGCAGUAGUGUUUAUGCCUACCAUGUGAAGGAAUGGACGGGGAAUCGUGGUCUGCUACUUGUGACAGAUGCUGCCAAUAGAGGAUGAAACCAUUUUGUCAAAAAAGGCUCAUCUGGUAUGGUUCUAAAUCCCUAAAGAUUCUUUUCAACACCAGCCACCAACUUUUGCUUUCCUAAUUUAGUGGAUUGUGAAGGAUUAGCUGUUUGAAAGCAAGUUACUUUCAACAACCAGACUAAGGUGCUGCGUAUCUUCUAGGAUAAGUUAUCACAUCACAUUCAGAAACGAAUUCAGGUGCGAAUGAAAUUAUCAUAGCUCUUCAAAUAAAAACUGCUGUGAGAUUAAAAUUUUGUACAUAGAUGUUAGCAAAUGAGGUACUUGUUGUGAGGUUGCAAUUGUGUCCAUUUAGGUAGUUGCUAUAACUAUCAAUGCAACUUGAGAACCUAAUAGUCUAGUUGCUCCACUAGUUUUGGAUGAGGCUGCAAGCACACCUUUGGUUACUGGUUUUCAAGUGCUUGUCAAGCAGCUUAAAAACUGCAAUCAGCCUUUAAAAACUUGGUUCUGACCUGUUAUCUUACCUAACCCAGGCUUAAUCUAAACAAACAGCCUUCAAAAGGUGCAUGCUUGUGGAAUUUAAUCUACACUUAGUACAGAAUUAGCUAGAAAAAGAUAAUUCUUCAAAUAAGAUUAAUGAAAGGAAGUUUGAAAAAUCUUGAAGCAUUCUCAUUCACAAAAACAUCUGUACAAUUUCUGUGGUCAACUAAUUUCAUUGACAUGUCAUCAUGCUGUUUAGUUACAUUUGAUGAAGAAAAGAAGCAAGGUUUUGUUUAAAUCACAUUUGGGUGGCUUGCAUUCAUCCAAGCUUGAGAUAUUGCUUGCUGCAGACACUUGAAAGCUUUCUGAUAAUUGAAGAAACCCAUAAACCAGAAAUCAAAAUCAUCGACAGUCACUAUUUCUAUGUACUUUUGUGAUGGAUGCUUCACAUUUUCAGUUUGGUUCGCCGUCUUUAUCUUUCUUAAUGGGAUCAAGACCUUGUAAUGGACUCUGACCAUUUUCCCCCCCGGUGAAGAAAAUUUAAUUGAUCUCUCACUGCAGAAGGCA